GACGAACGCUGGCGGCGUGCUUAACACAUGCAAGUCGUACGGUAAGGCCCUUUCGGGGGUACACGAGUGGCGUACGGGUGAGUAACACGUGAGUAACCUGCCCACAACUUUGGGAUAACGCUAGGAAACUGGUGCUAAUACUGGAUAUGUGCUCCUGCUGCAUGGUGGGGGUUGGAAAGCUCCGGCGGUUGUGGAUGGACUCGCGGCCUAUCAGCUUGUUGGUGGGGUAGUGGCCUACCAAGGCGGCGACGGGUAGCCGGCCUGAGAGGGUGACCGGCCACAUUGGGACUGAGAUACGGCCCAGACUCCUACGGGAGGCAGCAGUGGGGAAUAUUGCACAAUGGGCGCAAGCCUGAUGCAGCAACGCCGCGUGCGGGAUGACGGCCUUCGGGUUGUAAACCGCUUUCAGCAGGGACGAAGCUUUUUGUGACGGUACCUGCAGAAGAAGCACCGGCUAACUACGUG
rnacentral:rRNA from 1 species